rnacentral:rRNA from 1 species
CCUACGGGAGGCAGCAGUAAGGAAUAUUGGACAAUGGUCGCAAGACUGAUCCAGCCAUGCCGCGUGCAGGAUGACUGCCCUAUGGGUUGUAAACUGCUUUUGUACGGGAAUAAACCCUUCUACGUGUAGAAGGCUGAAUGUACCGUAAGAAUAAGGAUCGGCUAACUUCGUGCCAGCAGCCGCGGUAAGACGAAGGAUCCAAGCGUUAUCCGGAUUUAUUGGGUUUAAAGGGUGCGUAGGCGGAUUGAUAAGUCAGUGGUGAAAGCCUGUUGCUUAACAACAGAACUGCCAUUGAUACUGUCAAUCUUGAAUAUGUUUGAUGUGGGCGGAAUAUGACAUGUAGCGGUGAAAUGCUUAGAUAUGUCAUAGAACACCGAUUGCGAAGGCAGCUCACAAAGCCAUUAUUGACGCUGAGGCACGAAAGCGUGGGGAUCAAACAGGAUUAGAUACCCUGGUAGUCCACGCUGUAAACUUUGAUCACUCGCUGUUGGCGAUACACUGUCAGCGGCUAAGCGAAAGCGUUAAGUGAUCCACCUGGGGAGUACGAUCGCAAGAUUGAAACUCAAAGGAAUUGACGG